rnacentral:tRNA from 2 species
GGAGAGUUGUCCGAGUGGCCGAUGGAGCCUGUCUUGAAAACAGGUGGGCAGUGAUGUCUCGUGGGUUCGAAUCCCACACUCUCCGCCA